CUAGCCCAUGACACCUUGCUUGGCCACACCCCCAAGGGAACUCAGCAGUGAUAAACAUUAAGCCAUAAGUGAAAACUUGACUUAGUUAAGGUUAAGAGGGCCGGUCAAUUUCGUGCCAGCCACCGCGGUUAUACGAGAGGCCCAAGUUGAUAGACUCCGGCAUAAAGUGUGGUUAAGGAUUAAAUUUUACUAAAGCCGAAGACUUUCAAAGCUGUUAUACGCGAAUGAAAGAUUGAAGCCCAACCACGAAAGUGGCUUUAAUUACCCUGACGCCACGGAAGCUACGGGACAAACUGGGAUUAGAUACCCCACUAUGCGUAGCCGUAAACAUUGAUAACGCCCUAUAUUUGUUAUCCGCCCGGGAACUACGAGCGAGAGCUUAAAACCCAAGGGACUUGGCGGUGCUUUAGACCCCCCUAGAGGAGCCUGUUCU
rnacentral:rRNA from 1 species